CAGGUGUACAAAACAGAUGUCUUUUAUGACCCUCAUCAAUCAAAUUUUUUAACACAACCCGCCCUGGAUCCUCUCUCAUAGAGCAUUGAAAAGUCAUGAAACUGUGCAUAUUUGCUCAGAAUGACUUAUCCUCUAUAUAUAAAAAUUUGGAAGUGUUGGAAGCUGCACUUUAAGAAAUAUAAGACAAUUUAUGUUUACUUUUUUACUGUUUUUUCAAUAAAUCACUACGGCAAAACCGUUCAAGCUAUCCAAAAUCCAUUCGCAAUUUAAGUUUCUCAAUGUUUUGGCAUCAUGUAGACAAAGUUUGGUGUGUAUACUGUAAUUCUCCUCUGAGCAGUAUGCAUUAAUUCACAGCUAUAUUUUUCCAAAAAUCCAUAUUCAAAUCAAUAUAACUGACUUCCUGUUCAUCGUAGCUGAUGACUGUGAAUUAGAAAGUUGUCCGUCUUGAUAAGAACAAUUUAUGUACUGAGUUUGGUGUCUGUAGCUAAAACUAACCCCCCCACUUUUGACAAAAGGUGGCGCUAUAGAGUGCCUCCUCCACGCCCUUUUAUGACCUUUUGCCAGUGUCUAGUUAUCAUUAAUACUGAUAUGUGUCCUGAGUUUCAUGAAAUUUUAAGCAUGUUAU
ensembl:lncRNA